GGAAUGUGGCUCAGCAGUAGAGCGCUCGCCUCACAUGUGCGGGACCCUGGGUUCGAUCCUCAGCACCA
rnacentral:tRNA from 1 species